rnacentral:lncRNA from 1 species
AUUUGCACUGUUUUAGCUAACAUCUGCAAAUUAAGUCACAUCUUCUCUCCUGUUCAUGUAAGGGAGACCUUGUGAUUUUAAUGGGUUUUCUUUUGCUUUGUUUGUUACGGGGCAAGAGUCCAUUCUAAGAGGAGUACUGAAAGAUAUUUGGUUGAAACUGUCAUCCAGUCACAGAAGAAAGAUCAGGACUUGAAGUGUUAUUGCCAAAGCUAAGCCCCUGUCCCAGUGCAGCUAAUUCUAAAUGUUUGCAGUGAUCCUGGAAACCCGGAUUCCACAGCAUCCUCAGGAGAGGAAGAGUCACAUUAUGGAAAUGCCUGUGUCUCUGUGUUAACAGUAGAAGUCAGUCCAAGGCCAGAAUCUGUGAGCACCUUGAUUCAGGGAUGUACUGUACCUGAUGAGAUCAUACUUUGAUUUUGGCCACCCUCAAGCUCCUACAGAAGAAUGGAAGGCAAGGAAAAGGGUGCAAAUACUUGGGGCCUAGAUAGCAGGGAGUGAGCAUGGUAGAGGCAGCUCCCCACAGCAGUCACCACAUCCAACAGUGGGAUUAACCUGAACUUCAUGGAACAGAUGUAUGGGUAAGCAAGGAGAUAAUGAUGACGCACCAACAUCGAUCUCUCAUAAAAAUCCUUUUUAGACUGAGAUCAUUCAAAUAUUUACUAUAAUUUCUUAAGACCUCUGAAAGUCUUUAGUAUUUCAUUUAUAUAGUGAAAAGGCUGUAGGUCUUCCAGGAUAUCUCUCUCACUUCCCUUCUCAUAUCUCAUUUUUCACCUCCUACUGAAAUGAAUGACUGCUGAUCACCUG